rnacentral:rRNA from 1 species
CGGCGAUAGCGCGGUGGUCCCACCUGACCCCAUGCCGAACUCAGAAGUGAAACGCCGUAGCGCCGAUGGUAGUGUGGGGUCUCCCCAUGCGAGAGUAGGGAACUGCCAGGC